rnacentral:ncRNA from 1 species
UACGGGUGACGGGGAAUCAGGGUUCGAUUCCGGAGAGGGAGCCUGAGAAACGGCUACCACAUCCAAGGAAGGCAGCAGGCGCGCAAAUUACCCAUUCCCGACGCGGGGAGGUAGUGACGAAAAAUAACAAUGCAGGACUCGUUCGAGGCCCUGUAAUUGGAAUGAGUACACUUUAAAAGCUUUAACGAGUAUCCAUUGGAGGGCAAGUCUGGUGCCAGCAGCCGCGGUAAUUCCAGCUCCAAAAGUAUAUAUUUAAGUUGUUGCGGUUAAAAAGCUCGUAGUUGGAUUUUGGGCGCAGGCGGCCGGUCCGUCGCAAGGCGUGUACUGGACGUCCUGGCCUUCCCUCCGGUUCUCCGCCGGUGCUCUUGACUGAGUGUCGGCGGCGGCCGGAACGUUUACUUUGAAAAAAUUAGAGUGUUCAAAGCAGGCUCUCGAGCCUGGAUAAUGGUGCAUGGAAUAAUGGAAUAGGACCUCGGUUCUAUUUUGUUGGUUUUCGGAGCGCGAGGUAAUGAUUAAGAGGGACAGACGGGGGCAUUCGUACUGUGCCGUUAGAGGUGAAAUUCUUGGAUCGGCGCAAGACGAACGACUGCGAAAGCAUUUGCCAAGAAUGUUUUCUUUAAUCAAGAGCGAAAGUCAGAGGUUCGAAGACGAUCAGAUACCGUCCUAGUUCUGACUAUAAACGAUGCCAACUAGACGAGUCGGGGGGGCGUUACAUUGACGACCCCUCCGGCAGCUUACGGGAAA